GUGACUGGCCAAAGAUGGUGACAGUGGUGCCCUUGUAUUGGUUGGGGGUUGGGAGUCGGGCUCAAGGGGCUUCAGGUUCUAAGAUUUGAUGACUGACAGUGAGACUCAUGCAAGAAGUUCUGCCACUCUGUGUAAAUACAGUCACAGAAUCCAGGGGGAGCAGUGGUGACUUGUGAGUGAGCCUGGUCCCCUUAACAGACUUCUGUUAUUAACAGACUUCCCACUUCCACACAGUGGGAUCUGCGGUGUAGUUGGUAGAAAUCCUCGUAGUAAAUCUAUCUUACUACCUUCCAAGGAUGUAAUGAAAUGCUACCAUUUAAAAUUCAUUUCCUUGGAAUCUGAAGACAUCAGUUCUAAAAAAUAACAUGUUGAAAGGAUAUGAUGCCAAAAAUCAGAGCUUUUCUCAUGUUUCCACUAUGCAUUGAAAAUAGACCCCUGGAGU
rnacentral:lncRNA from 1 species